GGGCCCGUAGCUUAGCAUGGUUAGAGCGCCCGGCUGAUAACCUUGUCAGAUACCGGGAGGUCGAGGGUUCAAAUCCCUCCGGGCCCA
rnacentral:tRNA from 1 species